rnacentral:rRNA from 1 species
AACGAACGCUGGCGGCAGGCUUAACACAUGCAAGUCGAGCGCAUCCUUCGGGGUGAGCGGCAGACGGGUGAGUAACGCGUGGGGAUGUGCCUUGAGGUGGGGAAUAACUGUGGGAAACUACAGCUAAUACCGCAUAAGCCCUUCGGGGGAAAGAUUUAUCGCCUUUAGAGCAACCCGCGUCAGAUUAGCUAGUUGGUAGGGUAAUGGCCUACCAAGGCGACGAUCUGUAGCUGGUCUGAGAGGAUGACCAGCCACACUGGGACUGAGACACGGCCCAGACUCCUACGGGAGGCAGCAGUGGGGAAUAUUGGACAAUGGGCGCAAGCCUGAUCCAGCCAUGCCGCGUGAGUGAUGACGGCCUUAGGGUUGUAAAGCUCUUUUAACAGGGACGAUAAUG